GAAUCAAAGCUGCUUUUCCCUAAAAGGCAUUCCAUGAGGCAGGACAAAAUGUGAAGGCUGUACAAUGUUUUAGCUGCAAAUCGUAUUUCACGUCACAGGCACUAGAAGCUUCUGGAAAUGCCAACUGCCCCUUUAAUUGUGUGUGUGUGUGUGUGUGUGUGUGUGUGUGUGUGUGUGUGUGUGUGUGUAAAAUUUUGUUUUCUGUAUGGUCUCUCUUGAAAGAUUUGCCUUCAUGGAGACCCCAUCACUCAAGACAUGAGCUGCAAAAGGAAUGAAUUCCACCACUGCAAACUCAUUCGACGGCAUUUAUGAUAGUGUUGAUACACAUUCCCUGGUGUGCAGGUACUGUAUGGUGAAGGGGCUCUGCACACUCAUACUGAGCACAGAGACACAGCAGGGCUGGUGGAGAUUUCAGCUAUUGGUAUGACAUGUGGAGUCGAGCAGCUCGGACCCAGGACCAUCGUAGAACAGGAGGUAUAUAAAUGAAUGGAAGCUUGUGGGUACCAGGAAAUCUUCAGUGUUCCAGAAAGAUAAGCAGCAGGUUCUCUCUGCUCACGACCCCCAGGAGUUCUCCCAGCUCAUGUCUCCAGUCUGAAUCAGCCAGAAUACUCAAGAGAUACAAUGCCAUCUGCAUGUCACUCUAUUAGCCGCAAGAGAGCACAUUGUCAUUUUACUGCAGCUUUAUAAAAGUGAUGUAGUGUAUAUGUGAUUUGUUGUACAAAUAUAAAAUUUAAGCUUUUUACAGUAGACUGUAUAAGGCUGUAAAUCUGUUCCGCAGUGUUAAUACGCACUAACAGGAAAGAUCUCCCAUGCUGAAGAGUUCACUUCCAGCUCGGAGCUUUAUUCUUAUUUAUAAUCAGGACUGAAGCUGAACUUAACAGUGCUUUAGAUCUCAUGGGCAUGCUAGAUCGAAUAUUAAUGCACAUAAACAUAUAAAUGCGAUCUUUCACUAUACUUUGCAUUUUAUACAUU